GAUCCUGGCUCAGGACGAACGCUGGCGGCGUGCUUAACACAUGCAAGUCGAACGUGAUUUUUAUGGAAGAACCUUCGGGGACGGAAGUAAAAUGAAAGUGGCGAACGGGUGAGUAACACGUGAGCAACCUACCUUACACAGGGGGAUAGCCGUUGGAAACGACGAUUAAUACCGCAUGAGACCACAAUACUGCAUGGUAAAGGGGUCAAAGAUUUAUCGGUGUAAGAUGGGCUCGCGUCUGAUUAGCUAGUUGGAAGGG
rnacentral:rRNA from 1 species